ACUACAAGCCAUAGUACUCGGAAAAUAAUUUUUAGUCAAACACGAUUUAACCAGUAUUGGCAAGAUUGAAUUAUAACCACGUACAUAUAAUCUACUGUGAGAACAUUUUUUACCACUCGCCCAAGAUACUAAAUAAAAAAUAUUGUGUAGAUAUUUACGCUCAAUUGAUCGACACAGAAUAUGAGGUCAUUUGGUUAUAAAUUAUGAACUGUUGAAGAAAAAUUAAUUUACGGCAGAGAAUAUUUGACCAGAAUUUUGGAAACAUGAAAUUAUACUGACGUAAUUACCAGCUGUCACCAACAAUUACCUA